rnacentral:rRNA from 1 species
GACGAACGCUGGCGGCGUGCUUAACACAUGCAAGUCGAGCGAUGAAGUUACUUCGGUAAUGGAUUAGCGGCGAACGGGUGAGGAACACGUGAGGAAUCUGCCAUUUACUCUGGGAUAACACCGGGAAACCGGUGCUAAUACCGGAUAUGAAACUUUGCGGCAUCGCAGAGUUUGGAAAGUUUUUCGGUAAAUGAUGACCUCGCGGCCUAUCAGCUUGUUGGUGAGGUAAUGGCUCACCAAGGCGACGACGGGUAGCCGGCCUGAGAGGGCGACCGGCCACACUGGGACUGAGACACGGCCCAGACUCCUACGGGAGGCAGCAGUGGGGAAUAUUGGGCAAUGGAGGAAACUCUGACCCAGCGACGCCGCGUGCGGGAUGAAGGCCUUCGGGUUGUAAACCGCUUUCAGUAGGGAAGAAGCGAAAGUGACGGUACCUAAAGAAGAAGCACCGGCUAACUAUGUGCCAGCCGCCGCAGUAA